rnacentral:rRNA from 1 species
CAUUCUGUCGAACCUGGUUAUUCUUUAUAGCUUGCUAUGGGGACAAUUAGUGGCAGACGGGUGAGUAAUGCAUAGGAAUCUACCUAGUAGUAUAGGAUAGCCACUAGAAGUGGUGGGUAAUACUGUAUAAUCCCUGCGGGGGAAAGAUUUAUCGCUACAUGAUGAGCCUAUGUUAGAUUAGCUAGUUGGUGGGGUAAUGGCCUACCAAGGCAGUGAUCUAUAGCUGGUCUGAGAGGAUGAUCAGCCACACUGGAACUGAGACACGGUCCAGACUCCUACGGGAGGCAGCAGUGGGGAAUAUUGGACAAUGGGCGCAAGCCUGAUCCAGCUAUGCCGCGUGAGUGAGGAAGGCCUUAGGGUUGUAAAACUCUUUCAGUAGGGAAGAUAAUGCGG